GGUAAUUGGGUAACCCAAAAUAAUUGUAGCCUCACUGUACAGAGAGUCGCUCAGCAGUAUGCGGUCAAGCCAAUCCACUUGUGGGGCCUGUCGAUGAUGAGCGGCAAGGAGCGGACAGCGGAGCAGCCGGCAAUGGCAGCUGUCGCCGUCGGCGAGCGCAGCUCUGAAGCAUUGCUACAGGUGUGUGUCCUCCCCAACCGUUGCAACCAUGGUUAUAGCUUGAUUCGCUCGUUUCCGGCUCCAUUCGAGGCUAGUUCGUCAAUCCGGGCGCCGGAGACCUCGAUUUGAUGAAGCUGAAGUCGAAAUAAGGUAUAGAUCCGAGCUUCGGAGGCACAAGCAAGGCACGGGAAUCAAGGCACGGGAAGGAGGACUAGUGUCCCCAGGUGCCGCUGGACAGCUUACGUGAUUCAGCGACGAGGUGCCGGUGCUCGAGAGCAUCGGCGGCGCACGGCGGGCUGAGGUACGGUGUACGUGUGCGUGGUGGCAGCGGACCGAGGUCUACG